UCCAGCAUGAUUUUUAAGCCAUAUUUUAUAUAUUCACCAACAUAAUAUUAAUUAUAAUUACAUAUUCAGAACCGGGCGUGUUUUGCCGCCACACGCCGCCGCACGGUGGCGCCAGCGAGCAAUUCCGAGAUAAUCUCUACAUUUAAAGCCGUGGCCUUUGAAAGAGGGAAGUGGGUGCUCUUGAAAAAAGGAAAAGGAACCCCGAGUGCUUUAAUCAGUUCAUGGCGCAUGCAGUGAUCCGUGACGUCACGGAUGAGGCACUCAGUUCCAGUGGGCGCGCAGCCGGCUCUACGCUCAUUUGCAUAAAGCUAUUGUGACAUUCAUAAUGAAAGAUGGCAUGGCGCGGUUCGCGGCCCGUUGGCGGAACUGUGACUAAGUCGUUAGCGGUUUGCGAUCAGACCUGG